rnacentral:lncRNA from 1 species
AAACCCGAAGAGCGCAUGAGAUAUAAUAUCCAUUACCGUUAGAACGUGGAUAGUAUACUCGCAUGAAAUAUAUUAUCUAUUACCGUCAGAACGUAGAUAAUAUACUCGCAUGAAAGAGACACCAAGGAUACCGAUUACUGGGUAUAUAAUAGGUGACCUACCGAAAACGUGAAUUAGUAUAUAUGCCAAAACACUCAUCAUCCGAAAC